ensembl:lncRNA
GUUCUGUACAGCUCUGUGCCCACUGACAUUGCCUCUUUGACCUUUUCUGCCUCAAUGACUCAGUCAGUAAAGGAGAGAUGUUUUAGGUUCUCCCACAAGGCAGGAGGGAUUCUCAACUCCAUGGGAUCUGCCAAGUGGCUGUCAACCACUCCUGCCCCCGUUUCAUGGAGGAGAAGACUGGCUGAGAGCUGGAAGUGGUUCUCAAGAGGCCCCCAGUUGGACAGCCUGCUGCACAUCCUCCCUGGGUCUCACAGUUUUGCAUGUAACUUCCAGAGGCAGCUGCACACAGGCACCCAGCAGGAGUGAGAGUCCCUUGGAUUGCAAGGAGAUCAAACCAGUCCGUCCUAAAGGAAAUCAACCCUGAGUAUUCAUUGGAAGGACUGAUGCUGAAGCUGAAGCUCCAAUACUUUGGCUAUCUGACGUGAAGAGCUGACUCAUUGGAAAAGACCCUGAUGCUGGGGAAGAUAGAGGGCAAGAGGACAAGGGGAUGACAGAGGAUGAGAUGGUUGGAUGGCAUCACCGACUUGAUGGACAUGAGUUUGAGCAAGCUCCGGGAGACGGUGAAGGACAGGGAAGCCUGUGUGCUGCAGUCCAUGGGGUUGCAAAGAGUCAGACACGACUGAGCGACUGAAUAACAACAAACCCGGAGUUAACAGCUGGAUCUGUCACUCCACUCUCCCUUUCUGCUUCCUGAUCCAGGGUCCUGGGGCCCCUCAGGCUACUUAGCCAGGUUGGGAACAGGGACAGUGGGGUUGAGUUCUCA